CGUGUGUGUGUGUGUGUGUGUGUGUGUGUGUGUGUGUGUGUGUGUUUGUGUGUGUGUGUGCUGAUUAACCCAGUCUGAGGCUAACCCUCCGAACCCCUUCCUGUGUUUUGGUGUAAGCAUGUUGGUGCAGAGCAGUUGAUCGAAACAAAUCUCUCCAUUAGCACCCCAAACUGGUGGAUCUGCCGCCUUUUUUGCUUCACUGUCCUUCACCUUCACUAAAUCUCUCAUCAUCAAACCCUGACAGUAUGGGUGAGGAGUUCAAUUCUUCCUAUUUUUGCAGAUGUUUUCCCCGAAUGCACUGCCAGCCGCUGCAAAAUCCCCCAAAAAAGGAGAGUCUCUUAAAGAGACUCCUUGCCAAUGAUGGUGCGGUCAAAUGUGUCCUAGCCGUCUCAGUUUACUCCUUUUUAAGAUUAUUUCUCCUCAUUGCAAGUGCCACUCAAACCAUCAGCACUCUCAGCCGCGACUGCAGCUAAACGGGCGUCACGCGGCAGCCUCGGCCCGCUUCCGGUCCGCGCUCGUCGGCACCAGGCCGGAAGCGAAGUGUUACAAAUGCUGGAAUCCUGUUUGAGUAUGCUGUGUGUGUGUGUUUAUCUCUUGAUAAAAAAAGGAAAAUAGACAAGUAUUCUUAGCAGAUUAUAUUUUAUUCUUUUUUGUUCGCUUUGUUUAGAUUUGUCUAAUAUACACCUGUAUGCUGCUCGUAAGCGGCUGAGUCCACAAUGCACUUCCCAGGUGCCCUCCUAACUCGAUGCACAUCUAACCUCGCUAACAUUUUAAGAUCUCCAACGUGGAACGCGUCACAUAGAUGCACCAGGGCGUUCCAAUCCACACUAAUUAUGGCGAAAAAAGUUUUGCUUCAACUGCUUUUUCUUUUCUUUUUCUUUUUUAAAGUAAUAUGAACAAAGGUCAGAUGAACUUCUUUGGAAAUUGCUGCAGUGUGUAUGUGUACGUAUGAAUGUGUGUGUCAUGUUAUUUUGACAAUGGCGUGGAUCUGUUAGACUUUUAUUUCUCUACUUUCAGAGGCCCCGCACAGGAAAAUCAUAGCCUUUGAGGUGCUGUGUUUUGUUCCAGCCUAAUGAGGACAACAGAAAGGAACAAAUCACACACUUUUUUUUUUUUUUUGUUUUUAGCUUUCCAGGAUUUGAGUUAGUGCUCAAUGUGUUAGAACAGGCAGGAGACAGUUUGGUUGAUGGUUGAGGGGAGGAUAAACCCUAAAUUAGUUUUGAUCUCUCAAAUUGGAAAGCAACCUACAUCACAGGUUGUUUUUUAGGACUUUUUAAAGGACCAAUAUGUAAUAUAUUUACUGUAAUAAAUCAAAAAAUGACCAUGACAUUUCAUCAGAGAUUAAGGAAACAUGCUGAAUUCAAAUACUUGCUUCUCCGACAACAAUGCUACAGCCAAUAUGUUCUCCUUUUGAAAUCUCCAUUCUGGUCCUGGAACUUCCGUUUUUGCUUUGGCCGUUGUGAUCCCGUCCUAUGCCCAUUUCAACACCUCGUUGCCACAUAUGAAACAAAUUGGCAUGUAAACACAGCCUUCUGCACCCAUGGAACCUAGCAAAUCAAGCAAACCGAUCAUUAGAGAUAACUUUAGAUUUUACCGAUCUGAAAAGCCUCAGCACAUCUCUCUGUGAUUCGUGUGCAGCUGGGUUAUCAAGGCAGCAAGUAUUUGGGACACAUAGCUGGUAAAGUGAUCCCGACUACUGCUGGUGGCAAGGCUUGCCGCGGUAGUCGAUGUUACGCGGUGGUCGGGCCUACAUCGAUUACAUUGAUUAAUUUCCUCACUGUGACUUCCCUACUGGUGGCCAGAGGCUAACACCGUAAUGCUAACACAUGCUAACUGCUAUCACACUAGAGGAGUGGACGGGUCACAGAAUCCAAUGUUUUGAAUUUGGACUGCAGUACCCAUUUUAAAACGCUUGCUGUCAGUACUACAUAUUGCUCCUUUAAGUCAACUUAUGCAAUUGGACAUCCGCGUGCUUUUAUCCUGCCGACAAUAUCCAGAGUAGAAAGCACUGCACGACACUGCCACGUGGCACAAUCGGAGUAAAAUCUGCUACAAAAUACUGACUACACAAGUCUGCAAGCAAGCAUUCAUGGUAGUUUUAAUGAUUUAAGGACUGAUAAGCUCGUCUCCAUGAUUGACACUACAGUUCAUAUUUUGGGUUUAUUCCCCCUCUCAGCAGUCCAGCUGAGACAUUUCACCCCCGGAGCCCAGGACUGAAAGAGAGAGUAGAUGUUUACAGAGUUGCCACCCUCAUAACAGCCUGUGUAUGUGUGUGUAUAUGUGUGUAUGUAUGUAUGUAUGUAUGUAUGUUUGUGUGCGUUUGGAACAAUGGAUCAGAUGACCUAUUUUUCUCCCUUUUUUUUUCAGAUUUGUAUACGAGUGUUGUUCUAUUCCUCGGAUAUAUUGAGAGCAUGUUUCUUUGUGAAUCACCUGUUUGGAAGGGGGGCGGUUUGGGUUGAUUUAUCAGAUUGGAUUUUUAUUUUUGAAUUUCUGUGCUACUUUAGCCCAUCCAGAGGUGAGAUGAGAAUUACGAGCAAUUCAUAGUGGGCAUAACGAAAACGCUCUAGAACACCAACUAUUACUUUUACCGCUCAUCUGACACUUUAAAUUUCAAUCAUCAGCCCCGUGUAAACUCUUCCUGGUUUAUUUUGGAGGUUUCUGUCCCUGUGUUGGACACUUGUCCCCCCCACCCCCUCACUGUCCGGGCCUUUUCUUCUUUUAUACAGUGACUACUGACGGAUGAAAGGAAAGAAUAGGCAACACCUCACAGUUUGAACCUGUCUUUCAAAACCAGUUGUCAGUACGAGGAGGUGUUUCAGAUUUUUUGAAGGAAACGUGUCUGUUAUCUUCUUUUUUUUUUUUUGGUUUUACUCCUGUGAAACUCUGGCAGUUCCAUAUGGGCAUUACAGCCUGUCACACAGAGCCAAAGGGCUCCGUUUAGCUCAUGAUCACAGACUGAAGGGCUUCGUCAUCAAUAUCAAUUUGUAGCCAUGGCCUGUGGUGUUGCGUAGUUUUACCCGGCUCUCUCUGACAAUGCAUUUGGAAUACGUUUUGACUUGACAAUGCCAGUUCAGUGUUCACAGAUGUCGGAGGCAGUUUUUUUCUCUCCUCCUCCUCCUGGGCGUCCGCUGUGCUAUCCAGGUAUUCUAACAAUCAACAACCCCCGACUUCUCUGUCCUCACCUGGGGGCGACAUCUGCCAUCCUACAUUUAGUGUUAUAAUUAUAAAUUCCCCCUCAGAAACCAGUUUGCGGGUCAGAUGAACAACUUGGCUGUCAUGCUGCACCACAAAAAGCUGUGGUCCCCUUCAACCAACCAACCACAGGGGCUUCCUGGGGGCGGCUAGCUCCGCCUCCGCCGCUGCCACCGCCAUCCACCAAGUGUGCAAAAGGGGGAGAGCAAAAGGUGUUUUUUGCAUGUCAGAUUUCUGUUCCCCCUGUUCCUAUUCCCUGUCCCCUCUCUUGAUUUUGAUCUGGAAAUGUCCGAUAGCUUUUAUUUAAUGUGGAAAAAGAACACAGAAAUAAAUUAUUUGAUUUUUUUAAUGCUGUAAACUGGGUUUAUCUUGUCUGCUGUCUGGAGUGGUUCUCAUUUAAAAUCAUUCACAUUCGUAAGCUGUAUUUAUAAGAAAGAGUCACAAUCAGACAUCUAAAAGAGUUGUUUAUUUGAUCACAUGUUUGGUAUCUACAUGAAGAGACAAAAAAGUGUCCACUAUUUUACAUCACACUUAACCCUAAAACAGUAUUAUUGCAUAUAAACAGGCGGUUGUACAUGAAGCAUAUCAGAUGGCUCAUGAAGUUACAGAAAAUAUGUUUCCUUUGAACAAAAGACGAGACUUUUGGUGUUACAAACAUGACUCAACUGAGUGGUAUUCAAAAACGUCUUGCGUCUUUUUUGUCUGAACUACAGCAAAGAGGUUUUAUUAAAUGAUUCCUCUUCAUUUUUCUCAAAACGCAAGGACUUGAUUAGACAACAUAGAUCAUUGUAUCUCCCAUCGCUGUUGGCUAAAAACGUCUCCUUUAUAUUUAUAUGGCCCUUGUCUGAACCAGAUUAACACACAAAAGCCACAAUUGUGCAAAAAUGAGCUGGUUAAAAAAAAAUCUCUUGUGAAAACAUGAACUUCUGGCCCCAGAGUCUUCAAUGUUGUGCUUUUCCAGCCAACAGAAACGCUUCAUUCAUUAGAACGAAGUCUCUGCAACGUGUAUGAAUAGACUUAAUAGUCAAAAAAAAAAAAAAAAUGUAUGGCAAAAGAAUGAGUUCAUAUCAGAGUUAUAUUGUACAUCAAAAUCUGUUUUAUGCUACAUACUUUUGUAGGAUUAUUUUGUAUGUGCGU